rnacentral:rRNA from 1 species
CACGUAGGGUGCGAGCGUUGUCCGGAAUUAUUGGGCGUAAAGAGCUCGUAGGUGGUCCGUCACGUCGGAUGUGGAAUUCCAGGGCUCAACCCUGGACCUGCAUUCGAUACGGGCGGACUAGAGUUCGGUAGGGGAGACUGGAAUUCCUGGUGUAGCGGUGAAAUGCGUAGAGAUCGGGAGGAACACCAGUGGCGAAAGCGGCCGGCUGGGCCUGUUCUGACGCUGAGGCGCGAAAGCGUGGGGAGCGAACCGG